UAGUACUGGCAUAUGGACAUUCGUGUGACAUGGAACCAAUGUUCAGAUGCCCGUACUGUC
rnacentral:pre_miRNA from 1 species